rnacentral:rRNA from 1 species
UACGUAGGGGGCAAGCGUUGUCCGGAAUUAUUGGGCGUAAAGAGCGUGUAGGCGGUCCGGUAAGUCAGCUGUGAAAGUCAAGGGCUCAACCCUUGAAUGCCGGUUGAUACUGUCGGGCUAGAGUCCGGAAGAGGCGAGUGGAAUUCCCGGUGUAGCGGUGAAAUGCGCAGAUAGCGGAGGAACACCAAUGGCGAAGGCAGCUCGCUGGGACGGUACUGACGCUGAGACGCGAAAGCGUGGGGAGCAAACAGG